CACUCUCUCUCUCUCCCUGUCUGUGUGUCUGUCUUUCUGUCUCUCUCUUUCGGUGCCUAUAUCUAGUGGGGAGCUGGGGUGCAACACCAACCCCACAUCUUCCUUCAGAAAACAUCACACAAACCCCACAACACUAGUUAGCCAGACCUUAAAUCCCCCAAGUUUAGCUUCAUCUUUGCUUGUUUUUUUGUCAAUUCAAUAGGGUUUGUGGGGCUUUCAAACUCCAUUUGAUUAUGACCUAGUUCCUAACUGCCUCUAUCUUUGUACAACCUCAAUAUAUACCUAUCUAAUCCCCUUCUUCUGUCUCCUUCAUUUCCUCCCCCCCCCCCCCCCCCCCCUUCCUUCUUUUUCUCUCCCCCUCCAAAAACACCCCCCCCAAAAAAAAAAAUUGCUGCAUAUUCACCUUUGAUCUUCCUUGACAGGAUCAUGGGGAAGAUUAGCUAGAUUAGAACUCAUGUUAUCCAUAGACGUGCGAACUUUAUGUCCUUCCAUAUAUAUGUUCUCAUACUUAUGCAUGCAUACAUAGUAAUACAUACACGACGGGAUUAGAGAAGAUCGUAGUAGGAAGAUUCUCUAGCAUGAGGGAGUAGUUAUAUGCACGUUAUGAGAUCAUGCAUACACAUAUAUGUGCCUGGCUCCCUGUAUGCCAUUUGCAGAGCCCACCGGAGCAUCGAUGGUCUCCGUGGAUGGCGUAUGAGGAGCCAUGCAUAUUCCAUGUAUUAUACAUAUAUAGAAUUAGUUUUUCGAAUUUCGAUAUUUUUUCUCUUCGAUCACAAGGAAAGCAUUUUCAUAUUCUAGACCUAAUUUCACAUGGGCAGCUUUGUAAUUUUAAAACGUUGCAGGUUCUCUCAUGUCCAAAUAUUACCUGCACUUCUUCUUCGAUCCCCUCUAUUAAUGGCAGUACGACUUGGGGGUUUAUUUGAUGACUUGAUAUCUAUGUUUUUUGCAGAGAAUAGCAGAUCGAUCGAAGUCCCUAAAUCUCCGAUUGUCUCAUGUGGCUUCUUUCCAGGAGAUCAUAAAUCAGUUCACCACUCAUGUAACGAGGUUUCUGUGAAAUCAUAGAGCCCAAUACUUACGGGCAUGCAAUGAUCCAGUUAGUACUGCAGAUCCCGGCUUGACCAAACCCACAAACUUCGCCCAAUCUACUCUGCUUUUAAGGUAAGCAAUGUAGAAUGUUUACUGCUAGGCGCUAGCUAGGCACAAGCUCUACUUUCAGAAGAAAAAAAAAAAAAAAAAACCAAAUCAAGCUCUGGUUUCUACUUCCUGAAUCCUGUCCAAUAUUUGAUAGCAUUAUAACGAAUUGUUCUGAAUGGCUGCUAUGCUAGCUAGGCUAGUUAUCCAAUUAGAGAAAUGCUGCUGCUCCCGAUGAGAGCUCCUGAUGUGUGUGUGUUUUUUAUAUUUAUUUAAUGAUUAAGAAAGUAUUUUUAAAUAAUGUUUGAUUUUUUUUAAAAUAGCUGUAGAACUACCCGUCAAAUUAAUUAGAACGAGCCCUUAUUAGAUUUGCUUAGGCUUGUCUGGAUAUAUAGGACCUUAGCAAAUAGCGAUGGAGCUUGUGUAUGAACGAGAGAGAGAGAGAGAGGGAGAGAGAUUCUGAGUGGUGCAUCUGAACUACUAAUAUGAUCCAUGUCGAGGGCCAUCGAUCGAGAAAGAAAGCAUGGAUUCUGGGAAAAGUAAAAGUGUUAUGCAGCAGUGAGCUAGGAUUAUCAUUAUGCCUACUAGGGAAUCCCAUGCAAGGACUGGACCACGGUCACUUACCGGCUCUUCUCUCUCUCUCUCUCUCUCUCUCUCUCUCUCUCUCUCAUUUUAUUGGCUCGCAGGGAAUAUAUCAUUGUCCAUAUGUUAUGUGGUCAAAGCAGGUCAAAAAGGGUGAUUGGUCGGGCAAAGAGAAUGGGGACCACCUUUGCGUGAUCUCUCCUGCAUGGGAAAUCAAUUACAUUAAUAUAUGCCGUGGGAUAUAUAUAUAUAUAUGUUGGUGCAUGAUUUAAUUUUUCAAAUUUCAAUUUCAUUGAUCAGUAAUUAUAUCUAUAUAUAAAUCUACGGAAAAUUCUCCUCGA